GGUUCUCUUCCAGGCUGUGGGGGUUAGUUCUUUCGCUCUUUGUGAUAGCUCUCACUGCUGCUCGGUCUUUGGGUGUGUGCUGCGUUUAUGAGCUGUAACGCUUGCCGUGAAGGUCUGCAGCUUCACUCCUGAGCCAGCGAGACGAGGAACCCAUCAGAAGGAAGAAAACUCGGAACACAUCCGAACAUCAGAAGGAACAAAGUCCAGACACGCUGCCUUUAAGAACUGUAACAGUUGCCGCAAGGGUCCAUGGCUUCAUUCUUGAAGUCAGGGAGACCAAGAACCCACGAAUUUCAGACACAAUGGCGGGCGCCAGCCCUGCUGCAGGGCCAUACAUCUUUUUAAUUUCCUCUCAUCUUCCCCCCGGUUCUGAGAGGAAGGUGCUUUCACCUGCACUGUUCCCAUGAGGAAACGAGGCUUCAGGAAUCUGACAAAGCUUCCAAAGUUCCAUGGCCGGCAGGAACCAAGGUUUCGAUAGCCAGACUUCUCAGCCCCCUAGGUGGAGAAGCAGGAGGCAUGACAGAUGGUGAGAGUGCAUGCCAGGUCAAGCCGAAAAUGCGACAAUGCCACAUGGUUUUUCCACUUAGCUGCAGGAUGCCUUUGAACAGUGUUGCAGCCCCGUGGGCAGAAAAUUGCACUUGCCUCAACCCUCAUUAAAGCAAAUCGAGUCAGAAGGGAUUGAAACACCUGGAAGAAAUAACGAUGGAUUCAAACAAGGAAAAGGUGUGGGUCCGUCCCUUUUCCUGGCAAAUCCAGCGGCCUAGGAGACGUCACAAAAACAUUCCAAGGCUUCUGAACUUUUAAAGAGGCUAAGGAUGGGGCCUGCCAGGUACAGGAUGGCUCAUGCAGGUGGAGACGCAGCCAUAGGAUACCUGGGUUUCAUCGCAGCCUCGUCACCUACCAGUGUUGGGACUGUAUCAGUUAUCCCGAAUUUAACAGCCUAAAGCCACAUUCAUCAUCUUAUACUUUGUGGGGGUCAGGAACCCAGGAGUGGAUUCACCAGGAGGUUCUGCUGGGGAGUGUGGGCAGUGGCAGCCAUCCCUGUUUCCAAGUGCACCGUGUGGCAGCUGGCUUGAGGCUCUGGGUCCUCUAGGGUGCGGGCUUCCCCACCCAGAGUGACGGAUCCGAGAGAGAGCAGCCGAACUGAAAGCCACAGCCUUUUGUAAACAAACCUCAGAAGUGACAUCUCGUCACUUCUGCCAUAUUUACUGGUCACACAGACCCAUCCUGCUACAUGAAAGGAGCAGCAGGAAGGUGGCGGGGACUACUGGGACCAUCUUGGAGGCUGCCACAGACAUCCAAGCCCCUCCAGGCAGGACAAACCAGGAUGAGAGGACAGUGUCGGGGUGUAGCUGCCACCACCCAGUGUCGUCCGAGGAAAAUGGAGCAGCCACAUCCUGCACGGCAACACCAGGUGACCGAGCCAGAGCGUGUGACCACUCAACGCUUCCCACCCACAGCAGAGGAGUGCAGGCUCUGCUGAUGCUCACACACAUACAAGAAAGACUUCAGGAAAGAAAGGAAGGAAAGC